UCCGAAAUGGUCUAGUGGCUAGGAUUUGUCGCUCUCAUUAUCAGAGGUCCGACAAGGCCGGGGUUCAAUUCCCCGUUUCGGAA